rnacentral:rRNA from 1 species
UACGUAGGGGGCAAGCGUUGUCCGGAUUCAUUGGGCGUAAAGAGCGUGUAGGCGGCCUGAAAGGUCAGCUGUGAAAACUCGAGGCUCAACCUCGAGACGUCGGUUGAAACCAUCUGGCUAGAGUCCGGAAGAGGAGUGUGGAAUUCCCGGUGUAGCGGUGAAAUGCGCAGAUAUCGGGAGGAACACCGGUGGCGAAGGCGGUUCUCUGGGCCUGUACUGGCGCUGAGGAGCGAAAGCGUGGGGAGCGAACAGG